rnacentral:rRNA from 1 species
AGCGAACGCUGGCGGCAGGCCUAACACAUGCAAGUCGAACGAACCUUUCGGGGUUAGUGGCGGACGGGUGAGUAACACGUGGGAACGUGCCUUUAGGUUCGGAAUAACUCAGGGAAACUUGUGCUAAUACCGAAUGUGCCCUUCGGGGGAAAGAUUUAUCGCCUUUAGAGCGGCCCGCGUCUGAUUAGCUAGUUGGUUGAGGUAAUGGCUCACCAAGGCGACGAUCAGUAGCUGGUCUGAGAGGAUGAUCAGCCACAUUGGGACUGAGACACGGCCCAAACUCCUACGUGAGGCAGCAGUGGGGAAUCUUGCGCAAUGGGCGAAAGCCUGACGCAGCCAUGCCGCGUGAAUGAUGAAGGUCUUAGGAUUGUAAAAUUCUUUCACCGGGGACGAUAAUGACGGUACCCGGAGAAGAAGCCCCGGCUAACUUUGUG